GGACGAAACUCUGGAGAGACUCAAAAGAGCACCGAAGGGGAAAACUAAUUUUUAGUGAAACUCUCAGGUAAAAGAACAGAGACAUUUUU
rnacentral:ncRNA from 2 species